GGGGAUGUAGCUCAUUUGGUAGAGCGCUUGACUGGCAGUCAAGAGGUAGCCAGUUCGAUUCUGGUCUUCUCCA
rnacentral:tRNA from 1 species